UACGUAGGGUGCGAGCGUUAAUCGGAAUUACUGGGCGUAAAGCGUGCGCAGGCGGUUUUGUAAGCCAGAUGUGAAAUCCCCGGGCUUAACCUGGGAAUGGCAUUUGGGACUGCAAGGCUGGAGUGUGGCAGAGGAGACGUGGAAUUCCUGGUGUAGCAGUGAAAUGCGUAGAUAUCAGGAGGAAUACCGAUGGCGAAGGCAGGUCUCUGGGCUGACAC
rnacentral:rRNA from 1 species